AAUUAAACGAGAUCAAAUUUUCUCUCUCUACAGGUGACCUUCAAAUUAAACGAGAUAAAAAAAUUUUGGGAGAUCAAAAUCUUUCUCUCUCUACAGGUGACCUUCUAAUUUUCUCAUCUUCUUCAGCUUUCUCUCUCUAAAUGUUGCGUGAUUCUCUGUGGUAAUUUUGCUUGUUUUGCAGCUAAAGCUGAGAUUCUUUUGGUUUGUGAACAUUUCCGUGUGAAGUUAGGUUUCCGGCUGGAAUGGCUGAUACUCCGGCGAGUCUCGCCGGCGGGAGCCACGAGAGCGGCGGCGAUCAGAGUCCCCGCUCCAAUCUCGUUUAAUUCUGGGUUGUUCUGGCCGGAUUAUAUGGCUUUGGGUAGACGACUGGUGGUGUUGGGUAGACGACUGGUGGUGUUGGGUCGACGAAUUUUAGGGUUUCUAUUUUGGUGAAGAAGAAGAUGAAUAGUAGGGGGGUUGAGUUUGAAUUAAUUAGGAAAAAAAUGAGGAUAAAUAAUGUUUUAUUUAUUUAUGUUUGUAAUUUGUAUUUUUUUUAUUUUUUUUUUUUGAAAUUAAUGUAAUGUUGUAAUAGAUCUCAUUAAUAUAAAAAUUUUGAUAUAUUGUUUAUAUUAUUUGGUAUUAAUUUUUAAAAUAAAAAUAAAUAUUAAAAGAAAGAAAAAGAAAAAAUGAUUUAAAUUUUUUUUUUUUUUACCACAUAA
rnacentral:lncRNA from 1 species